rnacentral:lncRNA from 1 species
UGGUCAUCUGUCCUGAACCUCCUCACGGCCCCACAGGCCCAGAGCUGGGCUCUGCCCAUCAUGGGGCUGCUUCCUGUUCCCCAAACACUGGCCACAAUGUGAGGUCAGCCCAAAGGCGUAGGUGAGGAAGAGUGGGGUCCCUGGGACAGGAAGACAGGGUGACAGGAGUGGGCCAGCUCCAAGGUCAGAGAGAAGCCACAGGCUGAGCAUCUCAGAGCCCCCAGUGCCUAGUACAAAGAAGCAUAAGAAGGCUGGCUCACUCUCAUUGAGCCCUAUAUCGUCCCCUGCAUUAGAGCCAAGAAAACUCAGCCUCCAAGACACGGAACAUAUUUUCCUGGGUCAGAAGCAGCAGUCAAACCUGGUCUAUUUAUGCCGAAGCCCAAGUGCAGGUGCUCAGAGGAGAGAGCAGAGCUGUGAGGAGGGAUAGAUAUUAUGCUGUGGUGCAGCCAGACAAGCCCCACCUUGUUGUGCCUCCAGAAGAAGCACAUUCUUGGCCUGGGUGGUAACAAUAACAUCUGGAUGGAAAUAUCAAGUGGUAUCAGGCUUCCAGACCACCAUUCAUGAAAGAGCUAACCUUACAUAUGCUUGAUCAAAUGACGAAAAGCUUCAGCCAGAAACAGUUUUGCCUGGGUUCUGAAUCUUCCCUGAGCUCUUAAAUUCUACCCAGUGAGCAUCUAGGUUAAAACCUGGAUAAAACCUGGAUAAAAGAUUAAAAAACUCAACCAAGUUUCCAA